GUAGAUUUUUAUAUAUCCGGCUCUAGUAGAAAUCAGCUAUUAGACUUAAGGGGGAAAGUCCGGUGUAAAUCCGGCGCUGUCCCGCAGCUGUAAACCGAUUUGAAAUUUUUAAUUUGAGAUUUGAAAUUGUAUCAGACAGUUCAAAAUUUUCAAAUUUAAAUUUUAAAUUGCGUAAGUCAGAAUACCCGCCGAUAGAAAAGUAACUUU
rnacentral:ncRNA from 2 species